GGUUGGAUCAUUAAAAAGUUGAAAGGACGGUUGACCAAAAGUUAGCCCGACUUGACACCUGUGAACUUGUAUUAGUCUCUUCUGGGAUUUUGAGCCCAGAAUUUAACUUUGUAUUUUAACUAGUCUUGAUUUAAAUAUUAAAUAUUUAACAACUUUUGACAACGGAUCUCUUGGUUCUCGCAACGAUGAAGAACGCAGCGAAUUGCGAUAAGUAAUGUGAAUUGCAUAUUCCGUGAAUCAUUAAAUCUUUGAACGCACAUUGCGCCUAUUGGUUAUCCGAUAGGCAUAUCUGUUUGAGAAUUAGUUUAACUUCACUAACGGGAAGGGCAACCUUUCUGGUAUGUGGCUUUGGGGUCCUCUUUAUUGAGUUCCCUUGAAUUGAUUUAACUUGUUUGAGCUCCUGUUGAAGCACGGACGCAUUAUCAAGGUGUUGACCAUUAGUACGCAAGGAAAGCGGUCAUUUUAGCCAAAAGAUUUGCUAGUAGUGUUUCAUAAAGGACUUGAUGAUGGUUAUGUCUAUGACAACUUAAUACCAAGUCAAAUUUUGACUUGAAGACUUGAUCUCAAAUCAGAUAAGACUACCCGCUGAACUUAAGCAUAUCAAUAAGCAGAGGAAAAGAAACUAACAAGGAUUCCCCUAGUAACGGCGAGUGAAGCGGGAAUAGCUCAAAUUUGAAAUCUCAUUGGUCCCCAAUGCGAAUUGUAGUUUAAAGAAGCGUUUUCGGAGAUUGGCUAGGUCAAAGUGUUUGGGAUAACAUGUCAUAGAAGGUGAGAACCCUGUUGGCGAUCUAGUCUAAUUUCUAUGUGAUACGUUUUCAAAGAGUCGGGUUGUUUGGGAAUGCAGCCCAAAAUGGGUGGUAAAUACCAUCUAAAGCUAAAUAUUGGCGAGAGACCGAUAGCGAACAAGUACCGUGAGGGAAAGGUGAAAAGAACUUUGAAAAGAGAGUUAAAAGUACGUGAAAUUGUCAAAAGGGAAACACUUGAAACCAGUCUUGUUGGCUGAAUCUCAACUGGUCUAACGAUUAGUCUAUGGUUUAGUUGGCAGGUCAACAUCGGUUUUGCCUGAAGUACAAGGCAGCUGGAAGGUGGCGCUCUGCGUGUUAUAGCCAGUUGUUAUGCUUUGGGUAGGACCGAGGAUUGCAGUCUAGUCUUGGGUAUCCAGAUGCCAGUUGAUGUAUUACUUUGGACUACUUGUAGAUCAAGGCGAUAAUAAUGCUGCUCGUUUGGUUUUAUCACAUCUAGGCUUAGGAUGUUGGCAUAAUGGUUUUAAAUGACCCGUCUUGAAACACGGACCAAGGAGUCUAACACAUAUGCGAGUAUUUGGGUGAAAAACUCGAAUGCGCAAUGAAAGUAAUAAGUGGGACCCGCAAGGUGCACCAUUGACCGGUCAGGAUAUUUUUUGAUAGAUCUGAGUAAGAGCAUAUUUGUUAGGACCCGAAAGAUGGUGAACUAUGCCUGGAUAGGGUGAAGCCAGAGGAAACUCUGGUGGAGGCUCGUAGCGAUUCUGACGUGCAAAUCGAUCGUCAAAUCUGGGUAUAGGGGCGAAAGACUAAUCGAACCAUCUAGUAGCUGGUUCCCUC
rnacentral:misc_RNA from 1 species